rnacentral:rRNA from 1 species
UAAUACGUAGGUGGCAAGCGUUGUCCGGAUUUAUUGGGUUUAAAGGGUGCGUAGGUGGUCAUGUAAGUCAGUGGUGAAAUACGGCAGCUUAACUGUCGAGGUGCCAUUGAUACUGCGUGACUUGAGUACAGACGAGGUAGGCGGAAUUGACGGUGUAGCGGUGAAAUGCUUAGAUAUCGUCAAGAACACCGAUAGCGAAGGCAGCUUACUAGACUGUAACUGACACUGAGGCACGAAAGUGUGGGGAUCAAACAGGAUUAGAUACCCUGGUAGUCCACACUGUAAACGAUGAUUACUCGAUGUUGGCGAUACACAGCCAGCGUCUUAGCAAAAGCGAUAAGUAAUCCACCUGGGGAGUACGCCCGCAAGGGUGAAACUUAAAUGAAUUGACGG